rnacentral:rRNA from 1 species
CAAAGAGAAGCGAAGCGGUGACGUGGAGCAAACCUCAGAAAGCCAAUCUCAGUUCGGAUUGUAGGCUGCAACUCGCCUACGUGAAGUUGGAAUCGCUAGUAAUCGCGAAUCAGAAUGUCGCGGUGAAUACGUUCCCGGGUCUUGUACACACCGCCCGUCACACCACGAGAGUUUACAACACCCGAAGUCAGUGGCCUAACCGCAAGGAGGGAGCUGCCUAAGGUGGGGUAGAUGAUUGGGGUGAAGUCGUAACAAGGUAAC